rnacentral:rRNA from 1 species
UAUCCUCGGGACGCAGCAGUGGGGGAUAUUGCACAAUGGGGGAAACCCUGAUGCAGCGACGCCGCGUGUAGGAAGACGGUCCUCUGGAUUGUAAACUACUGUCCCCAGGGACGAAGAUGACGGUACCUGGGGAGGAAGCUCCGGCUAACUACGUGCCAGCAGCCGCGGUAAUACGUAGGGAGCGAGCGUUGUCCGGAAUUACUGGGUGUAAAGGGAGCGUAGGCGGGGAUGCAAGUUGGGUGUUAAGUCUACCGGCUCAACUGGUAGUCGCACUCAA